rnacentral:rRNA from 1 species
ACAUCCUAGAAAACUCUAGAGAUAGAGCUUUCCCCUUCGGGGGACAAAGUGACAGGUGGUGCAUGGUUGUCGUCAGCUCGUGUCGGAGAUGUUGGGUUAAGUCCCGCAACGAGCGCAACCCUUAAGCUUAGUUGCCAUCAUUAAGUUGGGCACUCUAGGUUGACUGCCGGUGACAAACCGGAGGAAGGUGGGGAUGACGUCAAAUCAUCAUGCCCCUUAUGAUUUGGGCUACACACGUGCUACAAUGGACAAUACAAAGGGCAGCUAAACCGCGAGGUCAUGCAAAUCCCAUAAAGUUGUUCUCAGUUCGGAUUGUAGUCUGCAACUCGACUACAUGAAGCUGGAAUCGCUAGUAAUCGUAGAUCAGCAUGCUACGGUGAAUACGUUCCCGGGUCUUGUACACACCGCCCGUCACACCACGAGAGUUUGUAACACCCGAAGCCGGUGGAGUAUACCAUUUA